AACAUGGCUGCAGUCGACGAUUCCUACGGGAGGCAGCAGUGGGGAAUAUUGGACAAUGGGCGAAAGCCUGAUCCAGCCAUGCCGCGUGUGUGAAGAAGGCCUUCGGGUUGUAAAGCACUUUCAGCGAGGAAGAACGCCUUGGGAUUAAUACUCCUGAGGAAAGACAUCACUCGCAGAAGAAGCACCGGCUAACUCCGUGCCAGCAGCCGCGGUAAUACGGAGGGUGCAAGCGUUAAUCGGAAUUACUGGGCGUAAAGCGCGCGUAGGUGGCUAAGUCAGCCAGGUGUGAAAGCCCCGGGCUCAACCUGGGAACGGCAUCUGGAACUGCUUGGCUAGAGUGCAGGAGAGGAAGGUAGAAUUCCCGGUGUAGCGGUGAAAUGCGUAGAGAUCGGGAGGAAUACCAGUGGCGAAGGCGGCCUUCUGGACUGACACUGACACUGAGGUGCGAAAGCGUGGGUAGCAAACAGGAUUAGAUACCCUGGUAGUCCACGCCGUAAACGAUGUCAACUAGCCGUUGGGUCCCUUGAGGACUUAGUGGCGCAGCUAACGCAAUAAGUUGACCGCCUGGGGAGUACGGCCGCAAGGUUAAAACUCAAAUGAAUUGACGG
rnacentral:rRNA from 1 species